ensembl:vault_RNA Vault Vault RNA
GCACUGGCUUAGCUCAGCGGUUACUUCUGUUCUACUCGAAUCUGUUGAUUACGUGGUCCUCUCCCAACCGGGAUCGAACCGCGGGCGCCAUCCAGUGUUUUC